rnacentral:lncRNA from 1 species
UUAAUCUAUAGCAAAGUAUUUCAAAUUUUCGGAGUUGUAAAGCACUUAGUAGGCAGGUAUGGUCUACGAAGACUUUUGUCUUAUAUACAUUACCCUCUACUUCAUCUAGAGGGCACUAAUUCUGAACAAAGAAUAAAUUAAGCUAUGGUAGGAACACGUGUCCUUGAAUUGGGCCGUGAAUGUAGAUUCAAGUCAUUGAGCGUAACUCUACAAACACGCAUCAGC